rnacentral:rRNA from 1 species
AACGAACGCUGGCGGCAUGCCUAACACAUGCAAGUCGAACGUGAAAGUACUUCGGUAUGAGUAAAGUGGCGCACGGGUGAGUAACACGUAGGUGACCUGCCUCUUAAUGGGGAAUAACCAGUAGAAAUUUUGGCUAAUACCGCAUACGAAGCCCUAAUCUUAGAGUAGUGCUUGAAAGGAUGCCUCUGUCUAUGCAUUCGUUAAUAGAUGUGCCUGCGGUACAUUAGCUAGUUGGUGGGGUAAAGGCCUACCAAGGCAACGAUGUAUAUCCGGUCUGAGAGGAUGAUCGGACACACUGGAACUGAGACACGGUCCAGACUCCUACGGGAGGCAGCAGUGGGGAAUAUUGCGCAAUGGGGGAAACCCUGACGCAGCAAUGCCGCGUGAGUGAGGAAGGAUUUCGGUCUGUAAAGCUCUGUUAAUGUGGAAGAAUGAGACGUGGUCUAAUAGGCCAUGUAAGUGACGGUACACAUAGAGGAAGCACCGGCUAACUUCGUGCCAGCCGCCGCAGUAA